AGAGUUUGAUCAUGGCUCAGAUUGAACGCUGGCGGCAGGCCUAACACAUGCAAGUCGAGCGGUAGCACAGAGAGCUUGCUCUCGGGUGACGAGCGGCGGACGGGUGAGUAAUGUCUGGGAAACUGCCUGAUGGAGGGGGAUAACUACUGGAAACGGUAGCUAAUACCGCAUAACGUCGCAAGACCAAAGUGGGGGACCUUCGGGCCUCAUGCCAUCAGAUGUGCCCAGAUGGGAUUAGCUAGUAGGUGGGGUAACGGCUCACCUAGGCGACGAUCCCUAGCUGGUCUGAGAGGAUGACCAGCCACACUGGAACUGAGACACGGUCCAGACUCCUACGGGAGGCAGCAGUGGGGAAUAUUGCACAAUGGGCGCAAGCCUGAUGCAGCCAUGCCGCGUGUGUGAAGAAGGCCUUCGGGUUGUAAAGCACUUUCAGCGGGGAGGAAGGCGAUGAGGUUAAUAACCUCAUCGAUUGACGUUACCCGCAGAAGAAGCACCGGCUAACUCCGUGCCAGCAGCCGCGGUAAUACGGAGGGUGCAAGCGUUAAUCGGAAUUACUGGGCGUAAAGCGCACGCAGGCGGUCUGUCAAGUCGGAUGUGAAAUCCCCGGGCUCAACCUGGGAACUGCAUUCGAAACUGGCAGGCUAGAGUCUUGUAGAGGGGGGUAGAAUUCCAGGUGUAGCGGUGAAAUGCGUAGAGAUCUGGAGGAAUACCGGUGGCGAAGGCGGCCCCCUGGACAAAGACUGACGCUCAGGUGCGAAAGCGUGGGGAGCAAACAGGAUUAGAUACCCUGGUAGUCCACGCCGUAAACGAUGUCGAUUUGGAGGUUGUGCCCUUGAGGCGUGGCUUCCGGAGCUAACGCGUUAAAUCGACCGCCUGGGGAGUACGGCCGCAAGGUUAAAACUCAAAUGAAUUGACGGGGGCCCGCACAAGCGGUGGAGCAUGUGGUUUAAUUCGAUGCAACGCGAAGAACCUUACCUGGUCUUGACAUCCACAGAACUUUCCAGAGAUGGAUUGGUGCCUUCGGGAACUGUGAGACAGGUGCUGCAUGGCUGUCGUCAGCUCGUGUUGUGAAAUGUUGGGUUAAGUCCCGCAACGAGCGCAACCCUUAUCCUUUGUUGCCAGCGGU
rnacentral:rRNA from 1 species